GGUUCUUUAGCUCAAUAGGCAGAGCAUGCAGCCCAUAACUGCAAAGGCGUAGGUUCAAUUCCUACAGGAACCA
rnacentral:tRNA from 1 species